AUGUCAGCUCACCAUCUGAUACAGAGCAACAUCAGAGAAACAGGCAGCUCUGCCUGGAGGCUGCCACCCCCUUACAGACACCUUGAAAGCAGCAAUGGUGAGAUCCAGGCGAUAUUGGGAGCAACGCAGCAGGGGAUGCUCCCAGCGGAGGCCGAGAGUCAGAGGCAGGAGACGAAAAAGGAGGCAAGGGAGAAUGAGGAGAAGGGCAGGAGGGAGCAAGAAGUACCAUUACAGGAGGUUGAGCACCACUGCCCUGGAGCAGUAGGGACCUGCAGGUGUGGAUUUCCUGCCGGGAGGGUCUGUGUCACACCCCACCAAGGUCACAGGGAGAUCUCUGUCACCUCACAAACCUUUGACAUCACUGGUGGAGCCUCUGAAGUACAGAUGCCAGAUCAACCUGUGCCAUCCUGUGUAAUUCCUGCUGAAAGGCAAAGCAAAGAGAUACCUGGAGGAUCUACAAGGCACUGGAUAAGAAGUAUCCUUUCAAAGAAAGAGGAGUCAAAGUUGAGGGAUGUCCCCAGAUUCAUACCACGUGAAAAUAAGAAGAUAGGAAGGAAGGUGAUAGCUUCUCUAGAACUCUAGAACUCCCUCU
rnacentral:lncRNA from 1 species